rnacentral:rRNA from 1 species
AUUGAACGCUGGCGGCAGGCCUAACACAUGCAAGUCGAGCGGUAGAGAGAAGCUUGCUUCUCUUGAGAGCGGCGGACGGGUGAGUAAUGCCUAGGAAUCUGCCUGGUAGUGGGGGAUAACGUUCGGAAACGGACGCUAAUACCGCAUACGUCCUACGGGAGAAAGCAGGGGACCUUCGGGCCUUGCGCUAUCAGAUGAGCCUAGGUCGGAUUAGCUAGUUGGUGAGGUAAUGGCUCACCAAGGCGACGAUCCGUAACUGGUCUGAGAGGAUGAUCAGUCACACUGGAACUGAGACACGGUCCAGACUCCUACGGGAGGCAGCAGUGGGGAAUAUUGGACAAUGGGCGAAAGCCUGAUCCAGCCAUGCCGCGUGUGUGAAGAAGGUCUUCGGAUUGUAAAGCACUUUAAGUUGGGAGGAAGGGCAGUAAAUUAAUACUUUGCUGUUUUGACGUUACCGACAGAAUAAGCACCGGCUAACUCUGUGCCAGCAGCCGCGGUAAUACAGAGGGUGCAAGCGUUAAUCGGAAUUACUGGGCGUAAAGCGCGCGUAGGUGGUUUGUUAAGUUGGAUGUGAAAUCCCCGGGCUCAACCUGGGAACUGCAUUCAAAACUGACUGACUAGAGUAUGGUAGAGGGUGGUGGAAUUUCCUGUGUAGCGGUGAAAUGCGUAGAUAUAGGAAGGAACACCAGUGGCGAAGGCGACCACCUGGACUAAUACUGACACUGAGGUGCGAAAGCGUGGAGAGCAAACAGGAUUAGAUACCCCGGUAGUCCACGCCGUAAACGAUGUCAACUAGCCGUUGGAAGCCUUGAGCUUUUAGUGGCGCAGCUAACGCAUUAAGUUGACCGCCUGGGGAGUACGGCCGCAAGGUUAAAACUCAAAUGAAUUGACGGGGGCCCGCACAAGCGGUGGAGCAUGUGGUUUAAUUCGAAGCAACGCGAAGAACCUUACCAGGCCUUGACAUCCAAUGAACUUUCUAGAGAUAGAUUGGUGCCUUCGGGAACAUUGAGACAGGUGCUGCAUGGCUGUCGUCAGCUCGUGUCGUGAGAUGUUGGGUUAAGUCCCGUAACGAGCGCAACCCUUGUCCUUAGUUACCAGCACGUAAUGGUAGGCACUCUAAGGAGACUGCCGGUGACAAACCGGAGGAAGGUGGGGAUGACGUCAAGUCAUCAUGGCCCUUACGGCCUGGGCUACACACGUGCUACAAUGGUCGGUACAGAGGGUUGCCAAGCCGCGAGGUGGAGCUAAUCCCAUAAAACCGAUCGUAGUCCGGAUCGCAGUCUGCAACUCGACUGCGUGAAGUCGGAAUCGCUAGUAAUCGCGAAUCAGAAUGUCGCGGUGAAUACGUUCCCGGGCC